UACGGAGGGUGCAAGCGUUAUCCGGAUUUACUGGGUUUAAAGGGUGCGUAGGUGGGCAGGUAAGUCAGUGGUGAAAUCUCCGAGCUUAACUCGGAAACUGCCAUUGAUACUAUCUGUCUUGAAUUAUCUGGAGGUGAGCGGAAUAUGUCAUGUAGCGGUGAAAUGCUUAGAUAUGACAUAGAACACCAAUUGCGAAGGCAGCUCACUACGGAUAUAUUGAACACUGAG
rnacentral:rRNA from 1 species